rnacentral:misc_RNA from 1 species
AAGGAAAUCAAUUUUUUUUUUGUAGGGCAAUCCCAACUUGUGCUGGCAGAUAAUAAUAGAAUGUGAUGCCAUUUAAGAGAAAAGAUCCAAUAGCUUUUGGACGAGAAAAAAUUACUAUAAAAUUGCAAUUGACUUUACAGGUUUUCGUCUAGUUUUCGACUAAACAUGAGGCAUGACACAACACUUCAAAGAUGAUCGGAUGGAGUUAGUAGAAAGUAGAAACAGACUUUCCUCUCUAGAGUUUUAGUAUACCACCUAGAGACAUUUGUUUAGGAAAGCUUCUUAUGAGGUGAGUGAAUGUAAAUGAGACAAUUUCUUCACUAUUACAACUGGCCAGACUUAAUUAUGCGGUCAAUAAAGGACAGUACAAGUUCCUUACCACAAACCAGCUGAGGCAAGAAAAUCUUUAAACCUCCUAGUUGACGUGUGUUUGAUGUUUGCUAGCCAUGAAACAAGCCCCAAUAUCCCAAACAGGAGUCUUAGUUGGAUGUAUCGGAGGCCAAUCUUGAAUCUAAAGAGCACGACUUCUAUGGCAGAAUCAGAUUUAGAGUCGGCCUUCAACGAGAGUCCAUAAAGUGCAUACUCAGCAUAUGCUAGUAACCUGACUCUCAAGGGAGCACCCAACUUGCUCGUCAGAGAUCUUAGGAGCCCAUCAGUCCGCAAUACUGUGAGAAAAUCGGUAGGCAGAGAUUCCAUGAAGGAAGAUAUAUCCUCCAUUUUAAGUGACUUCAGUUCCUGCUUCAGGUUCUUCUUUUCUUCAACAGACAUUCCUUCGCCCAGUGCGGACUUGCUGUCAAUUGUUCUUCCUGUGAAUAUGACAGGGAAGUAUCUCGAGUACUUCCCAACACCAAAAUAUUCUCCUAUCUCCUGGAUUUUGGCUGGGUCCUUAACUACCAAAGCCUCCCAAAG